rnacentral:misc_RNA from 1 species
CAGCUAUCAAUCUCUUGGAAAAAGAGAAGCAAGAAGAGGAACAAAUCUCCUCCUGUCUUGAAGAAACAAUCAGUUAAUUACACAUGAAGAAAAGAAAGAAACGAAAGCCACCCAACGGAGCUAGCCAGGCCACCAAUGGAGCCGGAGCUGAGUCAGCUAGCACCCGGACUUCUUGGCCCGGAGGAUAGUGCACUUGGUCCGCUGGAACGCGGUGGCGGCGACGUCGGGGUCGACGAGCUGCAGCUGGAGCGGGCAGACGACGACGAGCGGGCACUUGGCGGACCGGCCCUUGUACUGGAGCACCGUGUCCAGCCGCAUCUCCACGCCGAAGCUGCCCGUGUCGUUCUCCGCCCGGAACUCGCCCACCCCGGGCCUGGUCAGCUUGAUGGGCUUGCCCACGCCGCCGACUCUCACGCUCAGCGUCGCCGUCUUCCGCGCCUUGUGCUUGAACCCCGGCACGGACGCGGAGUCAUCGAAGCGGGUGCCGUUGAAGGAGAAGGUCACGGCGAGCGCGCCGUACUCGAUGGCCCGGUACAUGUUGGGAUUCCGGAGCGACACCGUGGCGGUGACGUUGAAGGAGAUGGUGGAGUUGGACGCCGGGUCGGCGGGCGCCAGCGCGAACCGCUGCAGCACGGCGUCGUCGGCCGUGGCCUUGGGCGGGAACACCACGCCGAAGGCGAGCACCAGGACGGUGAUGAGGCCUCCCACGACGACGAUGGCGGCGGCCCAGAUGGCGAGCUGCGUCCAGCUGCAGUCGUCACAGCAGCCGUCGCCCUUGCCGCCGCACCAGCCCUCCCAGAACGCCAUGGCCGCCCGCGCUGCUCGGGUGUGGGGGUGGUCGGGUGGGGGACGCGGAUCUUGCGGGCCUCUGGCUGGCUAUCCAAGGCAACGGUGCUGCUUGGUGUUGAGAGAAUCAAUCGCCCUGCCUGCCACUCACCGAUUGUUAUUGUUGAAGAACGAAUAAAAGAGGGAGGGCCAGCCGGCCAGGGGACGACGACCAAGACUUGGUUGGGGUCAUCGCCGGACAAGGGACACGGAGGAAGGUCACACUCGGGGAAAUCAGCCACCCACCAAUCCGAAAUCUUGGAGAAAUGGAAGGGCAUUGCAAGUGAAAUUAAUCAGGAUUCAGGAGACGGGUUGUGUCGCUGGACGGAGAUGCUGCUCCACUUCCACCGGCCGCCGGCCGCUGGUUGGUGAGCUGGUGCACUUUACUGGGGGGAGAGCGCGCCAGCGCCCGUGCCAAAUCGGGUACAGUACUUAAGGCUUCUUUGGUUUGUGUCUAACUGUGCCCCACUUUGCCUAAGGUUAGUCGUUCGAAUUGAAUAACUAACCUUAGGCAGAAAAGUUAGGCAAAAUGUGGCAAUUGAGGCAACGAACCAAACAUGCCUUUACUCCGUUACAAAAUUAGUUGUCGUUCUCGAAAAAUC